rnacentral:rRNA from 1 species
ACUACGGGGUGCAGCAGUGGGGAAUAUUGGGCAAUGGGCGCAAGCCUGACCCAGCAACGCCGCGUGAAGGAAGAAGGCUUUCGGGUUGUAAACUUCUUUUCUCAGGGACGAAGAAAGUGACGGUACCUGAGGAAUAAGCCACGGCUAACUACGUGCCAGCAGCCGCGGUAAUACGUAGGUGGCAAGCGUUAUCCGGAUUUACUGGGUGUAAAGGGCGUGUAGGCGGGAAAGCAAGUCAGAUGUGAAAACCAUGGGCUCAACCUGUGGCCUGCAUUUGAAACUGUUUUUCUUGAGUAAUGGAGAGGCAGACGGAAUUCCUAGUGUAGCGGUGAAAUGCGUAGAUAUUAGGAGGAACACCAGUGGCGAAGGCGGUCUGCUGGACAGCAACUGACGCUGAGGCGCGAAAGCGUGGGGAGCAAACAGGAUUAGAUACCCCAGUAGUC